rnacentral:rRNA from 1 species
UACGUAGGGGGCAAGCGUUGUCCGGAAUUAUUGGGCGUAAAGAACUCGUAGGCGGCUUGUCGCGUCGGCUGUGAAAACCUGAGGCUCAACCUCGGGCCUGCUGCCGAUACGGGCAAGCUAGAAUUCGGUAGGGGAGACUGGAAUUCCUGGUGUAGCGGUGAAAUGCGCAGAGUAUCAGGAAGAACACCCGUGCUAAGGCGGCUCUCGUAGUAACGGUACUGACGCUGAGACGCGAAAGCGUGGGGAGCGAACAGG